rnacentral:lncRNA from 1 species
GGUGGCCAUUUUAUUCUCAUUAUCAUUUAUUAUUUGAUACUUUUCUACACAAGGAAGAGAACAAUAUAUUUAGAAAGCUCUUUUUACAUAUUUUUUACCUUGUUCAGCUGCAGGAAACUGGAUGUCAUAUAUAAGGAUUUUUUUUUGUUGGUGGUGGUUAUGGGAGAGUGCCCAAGCAUUUUCAAUGUUGGAUACAUAAAGUCACUUUUAUAUUUCAGGUUAAGACAGGAACCACUCCGACAAGCUUUGUCAAUGAUUUGCUAUAGGUCAACAAUUUCUUCUAUAUUCAUCUAAUGCAAAAUUGUUAGCACUACUGUGCAUCCAUGCAUCCCAUGAGGAUGUGACAUACAGCCGCUGCUUACAGUGUUGGCACCAGUGGCAGAUAUUUUGAUAUCUGAGGCAAGUUUAUUGAAUUUAUAAGGGAACGUGGCCUUCAUGACAGUACUAGUGUAGCCCCAGAGUACCAGCUCAGCAUACUGCAUCAUUGUCACCCCUCGCCCUGGAACCAGGGCAUAAACACUUGGUGCCAUGGUGCAAAUAGAGCCUGUCUCCUACCAGCCCUUCUGAGCAACAUAAACUCUUUGGUUGGUGCAAUAUCCUCCUGCAGACUAAGUCUCUGCUGCAUUUUUAAGGGCUGUGAACGAGCACCUUUGAUACUGCCACCAGAGGAUAAUGCAACAGUUCCUGGAUUUGUUGAUAUUGGCCAACCAGACUCAUUUGUGGUGAUAAGUUUUGUGGACUAGACACAAGUACACAUUAAACCAGACGACACAGAUGACAUCAGACUCACUUCUUGUAGGACAUCAAGUAACCAACAGAUGAUAAUUUCCAAUAACGAUUAAUCUGCUCUGGAAUUUAAUAGGGGAACUAAAGUGGAAGAACACCAGUAUGUGAGAUCUCUAGUUGUGUCUUUUGUCCACCCUUGAUUGCAGCAAUUUUUCCCUACCUUUAGAUGUUUCCAGAAUCUUAUUGAAUAUGCAUACGAGACCGUGAUAUACACAGCAAGAUGGCAUAUCGUAAGUGGACUUUUGGCUAAAUUACUAUAUUCAAUCACUGUUGAAAUCACUGAAAGAAAAACAGAACUCAGUAGUGCAAUAUUAGCAAAAGGCCUCCCACCCCUGCAAUAAAUGAAAUACUUUUCUCUCA